rnacentral:rRNA from 1 species
GGGAGCCGGAGGGAAACCGAGUCUUAAUUGGGCGUUAAGUUGCAGGGUAUAGACCCGAAACCCGGUGAUCUAGCCAUGGGCAGGUUGAAGGUUGGGUAACACUAACUGGAGGACCGAACCGACUAAUGUUGAAAAAUUAGCGGAUGACCUGUGGCUGGGGGUGAAAGGCCAAUCAAACCGGGAGAUAGCUGGUUCUCCCCGAAAGCUAUUUAGGUAGCGCCUCGUGAAUUCAUCUCCGGGGGUAGAGCACUGUUUCGGCUAGGGGGCCAUCCCGGCUUACCAACCCGAUGCAAACUGCGAAUACCGGAGAAUGUUAUCACGGGAGACACACGGCGGGUGCUAACGUCCGUCGUGAAGAGGGAAACAACCCAGACCGCCAGCUAAGGUCCCAAAGUCAUGGUUAAGUGGGAAACGAUGUGGGAAGGCCCAGACAGCCAGGAUGUUGGCUUAGAAGCAGCCAUCAUUUAAAGAAAGCGUAAUAGCUCACUGGUCGAGUCGGCCUGCGCGGAAGAUGUAACGGGGCUAAACCAUGCACCGAAGCUGCGGCAGCGACACUGUGUGUUGUUGGGUAGGGGAGCGUUCUGUAAGCCUGCGAAGGUGGCCUGUGAGGGUUGCUGGAGGUAUCAGAAGUGCGAAUGCUGACAUAAGUAACGAUAAAGCGGGUGAAAAGCCCGCUCGCCGGAAGACCAAGGGUUCCUGUCCAACGUUAAUCGGGGCAGGGUGAGUCGACCCCUAAGGCGAGGCCGAAAGGCGUAGUCGAUGGGAAACGGGUUAAUAUUCCCGUACUUGGUGUUACUGCGAAGGGGGGACGGAGAAGGCUAUGUUGGCCGGGCGACGGUUGUCCCGGUUUAAGCGUGUAGGUGUGUGUUCCAGGUAAAUCCGGUUCACUUUAACACUGAGGCGUGACGACGAGGCACUACGGUGCUGAAGCAACAAAUGCCCUGCUUCCAGGAAAAGCCUCUAAGCAUCAGGUAACAUCAAAUCGUACCCCAAACCGACACAGGUGGUCAGGUAGAGAAUACCAAGGCGCUUGAGAGAACUCGGGUGAAGGAACUAGGCAAAAUGGUGCCGUAACUUCGGGAGAAGGCACGCUGACACGUAGGUGAAGUGAUUUACUCAUGGAGCUGAAGUCAGUCGAAGAUACCAGCUGGCUGCAACUGUUUAUUAAAAACACAGCACUGUGCAAACACGAAAGUGGACGUAUACGGUGUGACGCCUGCCCGGUGCCGGAAGGUUAAUUGAUGGGGUCAGCGCAAGCGAAGCUCCUGAUCGAAGCCCCGGUAAACGGCGGCCGUAACUAUAACGGUCCUAAGGUAGCGAAAUUCCUUGUCGGGUAAGUUCCGACCUGCACGAAUGGCGUAAUGAUGGCCAGGCUGUCUCCACCCGAGACUCAGUGAAAUUGAACUCGCUGUGAAGAUGCAGUGUACCCGCGGCAAGACGGAAAGACCCCGUGAACCUUUACUAUAGCUUGACACUGAACAUUGAGCCUUGAUGUGUAGGAUAGGUGGGAGGCUUUGAAGUGUGGACGCCAGUCUGCAUGGAGCCGACCUUGAAAUACCACCCUUUAAUGUUUGAUGUUCUAACGUGGACCCGUUACCCGGGUUGCGGACAGUGUCUGGUGGGUAGUUUGACUGGGGCGGUCUCCUCCUAAAGAGUAACGGAGGAGCACGAAGGUUGGCUAAUCCUGGUCGGACAUCAGGAGGUUAGUGCAAUGGCAUAAGCCAGCUUGACUGCGAGCGUGACGGCGCGAGCAGGUGCGAAAGCAGGUCAUAGUGAUCCGGUGGUUCUGAAUGGAAGGGCCAUCGCUCAACGGAUAAAAGGUACUCCGGGGAUAACAGGCUGAUACCGCCCAAGAGUUCAUAUCGACGGCGGUGUUUGGCACCUCGAUGUCGGCUCAUCACAUCCUGGGGCUGAAGUAGGUCCCAAGGGUAUGGCUGUUCGCCAUUUAAAGUGGUACGCGAGCUGGGUUUAGAACGUCGUGAGACAGUUCGGUCCCUAUCUGCCGUGGGCGCUGGAGAACUGAGGGGGGCUGCUCCUAGUACGAGAGGACCGGAGUGGACGCAUCACUGGUGUUCGGGUUGUCAUGCCAAUGGCACUGCCCGGUAGCUAAAUGCGGAAGAGAUAAGUGCUGAAAGCAUCUAAGCACGAAACUUGCCCCGAG